rnacentral:rRNA from 1 species
GACGAACGCUGGCGGCGUGCUUAACACAUGCAAGUCGAACGGUAAGGCCCUUCGGGGUACACGAGUGGCGAACGGGUGAGUAACACGUGGGUGAUCUGCCCUGCACUUCGGGAUAAGCCUGGGAAACUGGGUCUAAUACCGGAUAGGACCCUGGGAUGCAUGUCCUGGGGUGGAAAGCUUUUGCGGUGUGGGAUGGGCCCGCGGCCUAUCAGCUUGUUGGUGGGGUGAUGGCCUACCAAGGCGACGACGGGUAGCCGGCCUGAGCGGGCUGCCGGCCACACUGGGACUGAGAUACGGCCCAGACUCCUACGGGAGGCAGCAGUGGGGAAUAUUGCACAAUGGGCGCAAGCCUGAUGCAGCGACGCCGCGUGAGGGAUGACGGCCUUCGGGUUGUAAACCUCUUUCAGCACCGACGAAGCGCAAGUGACGGUAGGUGCAGAAGAAGGACCGGCCAACUACGUGCCAGCCGCCGCAGUAA